rnacentral:rRNA from 1 species
GGGGGGGGGGGGGGGGGGGGGGGGGGGGGGGGGGGGGGGGGGUGGAGGGAGGGGGGGGGGGGUCGGCGGGAAUGCAUGGCGGAUUGGGGGGAGACGGGUGGGUAACGCGUGAGCAACCUAGCUCUUACAAAGGGAUAGCCUGGGGGAACCGGGAUUAAUGCCAUAUAACAUUGCGACGGAGCAUUUCGAUGGAAUCAAAGCUACGGGGGGCAGAGAUGGGCUCGCGUCCCAUUAAUCAGAGGGUGAGGGAACGGCUCACCAGAGUAACGAUGGGUAACCGGCCUGAGAGGGUGAACGGUAACACUGGAACUGAGACACGGUCCAGACUCCUACGGGAGGCAGCAGUGGGGAAUAUUGCACAAUGGAGGGAACUCUGAUGCAGCGACGCCGCGUGAGUGAUGAAGGAAUUCGUUUCGUAAAACUCUGUUCUAUGGGAAGAAAAGGACUGUACCAUAGGAGAAAGCUCCGGCUAAAUACGUG